rnacentral:lncRNA from 1 species
AAUCUAUCGAAAGAUAUAUAAGCUCACCAAAUCUUUUCCAUGUCAGUUCUAUUUUUAUUUGUUUAUUUAUUGGUUAUUUUAUUUAUUUAUAAAGUUAAGAAGCAUGAUCAGCUAUUUUUAAGCUUUAUGUAUCAUAAUUAUGCUGCUAGUUUCAUUCCCCCUUGGACCAUACAGGGUACAGAUACUGAGUCCUUUCAUUUACUCAGGCAGGAUGUGGUAAUUGUGUUUUUCUACUGAUAAAUCAUGCUAUUUUCGUAAAAUCCAGAAAUGACAUGUAGUUGUUUGAAUUAGUUGGUCACUUGUAUUAUUUUAUAUCAUGUAUCAAGUUUGAGUAAUGUAAUGAAACCUCUCAAAGCUUUAUACACUUGACAAUUUAGGAUUCUAGCUACUGAUAGAGGCUACCACUUCCCUUGUCGGUGCAGUCAAAGCGUCUUCCCUACAAAGAUACAAAGUCAGCUUCUUUACGGAUUCUGGGUUUUCACACACCUCUUGGA